rnacentral:sRNA from 1 species
CACGCUGCGGGCCCGGGCCAUGGCCGCCGCCGAUGCCGAGUGGUACCUGGCCUGAGGAACAUUUGAAGUUUGUGCUGCGGGCCAUCUAGGGCAAGAAUCCUGUGACCAAG